rnacentral:rRNA from 1 species
UACGUAGGGUGCGAGCGUUGUCCGGAAUUAUUGGGCGUAAAGAGCUCGUAGGCGGUUUGUCGCGUCGGGAGUGAAAUCCACUGGCUUAACUGGUGGCUUGCUUUCGAUACGGGCAGGCUAGAAUUCGGUAGGGGAGACUGGAAUUCCUGGUGUAGCGGUGAAAUGCGCAGAUAUCAGGAGGAACACCGGUGGCGAAGGCGCUGCUCUGGGCCGGUACUGACGCUGAGGAGCGAAAGCGUGGGUAGCAAACAGG